AAAUCAUUGCCAGCCCUGUUGUGGCUCUGAAGAUGGAAGGCACUUGCAGUGUCAUGGGCAAAUGUGUUUAAAAGGUGUUCUACCGUUGAUGGUUUUUUUUUUUUUUUUAAUCCUCCCUUCCUUAUUUUCAAAAGGCAGCUGUUUUAUUUAUCAAAGCCGAUUGAUUCAUUGAUUCAUUCUCAUUUGUCCCGGGCGUAGGUUUUCAUUUUAACUUUUUGGUAUGGUGAGGGUCUAUGAGAAUGCCUGAGUGUAAAUUACCUUAUUCCUUCUUUAGUCUCUUCUUAGUUUUGAGGGGAUCUAGCCUCCUGAACCGUGUUUGUGUGCAGUGGGAGGGAGGGGCUUGGACUAAUCCUGUAGAGCAUUUUAGAAGAUGUUUAGAGGCUGUUCUUAAUCAGUCUGACUUUCCCCCAAGGUGAGGCUGUUAUAGGGCAGUCUGUGCGGACAGGGGUCCCCUGUCUGCUGUCCCCAUCACAGGAUUUCCCUACCUAGAGUCAAUCAACCAAGGCUGUAUAAGUGAGGAUACUCCUGUAGCCAGGACGUCUUCAAGGCUCAGAAACUCCCUACCUCCAGGCUGACUAGGUUCUAUCAUGCCCCACAUUGGUCAUGUCAGCCCCAAUCCUGGUCAGUUUCCCAGAGGAGAAACCCACUCUGUCCUCACGUCCCGACCUGACUGAUUUCUCUCCGUCUUUAUUCCACUUGUCAGAAAUGGGGAAGGUUUCAGGUUGGGUGUGGUGGCGCACGCCUUUAAUCCUAGCACUCAGGAGGCAGAGGCACGUGGAUCUCUGAGUUCGAGGCCACCCUGGUCUACAGGGCUAGCUCCAGGAUAGCCAGGGCUACAUAGAGAGACCCUGUCUUGACAAACAAACAAAUGGACGAACAAACAAAAAAAUGUAAAAAUUUCAAUUUGAGUAGUGUGUACACAUAAAGCAGGCAGGGUGGCAGCCUGGAGUGUGUGUGUGUGUGUGUGUGUGUGUGUGUGUGUGUGUGUCCCUAUUCCUCCAGGGAGGUGGCUUCUGGAGGGUCUUAGGGGAAUGCAGGGAAGUGACACCUGGGACUUGCAGGACUUCUAAACCCUCUGAGCGAGCUGAUGGCCUGUGCAGAUGUGGUGGGUUAGAAUGUAUAGGUCUUGUACUGGACCUUGUUAUUUAGGUCCUUGGAGGACCCUGCUGGGGACCUAACCCUUUGUGGCCCCAAAGGGACAAUCCUCUCAGCAUGCGCCUCAUUCUGGCUUCCAUCUCCUCUCUGGGCACUUCAUUAUCCCCUCAGGUGGAGAACUUCAUAAAACCUCUCUUCGUCGUCGUCCUAGCGCCUUGCGUCAUCCAGCCGUAGAUCAUUUUUUUUCCCCAAGAACUGACUCUUGCUUUCUCCCAGUCAGCCCUCCCCCAGCCCCCAUGGCGAUUAUUUUCCCUUGGAUCUAAUAAAUUAAAAAUUGAUGGGAGCUCAGAAAGUGUGCUCUGCCGGGUGCCGUGUAGGUGGUGUUACUGUUGCUGUGUCUCUUGGUGUCUUGGCCCCUCCUGAGUGUCCACCCAGAAUAGAACAAGAGGCUCCCUAUGCAUGGGCUAGCUGGCCAAGUCUCUAGCUUCCUGGGUAGCCGGCAUAAAGUCUCCAGUCAGAGGAGGCAGAGCUCGGUGGAUGCUGAACAUUUCUUGUAAACAUGCAUGCACAUUGUGAUGGGGGCUGUGACGCUGGCAGCACACUGUUUUAGCAACCUGUCCCUCACCCCCAAUCCUUCCUUACUGUCUCCUCCUACCUUAUUGAAACAGUACUAACCGUGAGUUAGCUAUUAAGAAUAGAGAUUUGGAAUUGACCAGAGGCAAAGGGGAGACAGGAGUCCAUGAUGUACCAUGUCUGCAGCAAUGUGUGUGUGUGUGGUGUCUGUUUGUGUGUCUGUGUCUAUAUAUGUGUGUAUGUCUGCAGCAAUGUGAGUGUAGGAGUGUGUGUGGUGUGUGCCUGCAGCCAUGUGCGUGCAGGACUUGUGUGUGUGUGUGUGUGUGUAGCAGUGCACACACCCCAUGGCCUGAGGACAGCUCAUCUUUUGGCUGGAAUUCCCUGAGGGGCAGGUGCAAGAUAGUUGUUGAUGGACCAGGGCAGGCAGGGUCCUAGGAUCUGUGUGACAGAGGGACUUUCAGGCUAGGUAAUGCCCUCUGAUGGAGGUUUGGUGGCUGCUUGGCUGAGCCAGUGUGAACAGCUCCUCUCCAUUUCUGUCUUCUGUCCCAAAUUCCUUCCCAGCGGAGCUGAGACUGGGGAAGUUUGCCUUAGGAUCAAGGGAUCCUCUUCCACUUAACAGUGAUGCCUAUUAUUAUUUGUGAAGCCUGAUUUCAUUGCCUCUAAAUGCGUUUAACCAGCUGGGAGGAGGCCCAGCCUUGUAAAUAAAAUGUGGUUUUGUUG
rnacentral:lncRNA from 1 species